rnacentral:rRNA from 1 species
GAUGAACUCUUGCCUCGUCCCUUAUACUUGCUAGUCCAACGAACGGACGAGAAGCUUUCCCUACUGAUUAAAUCUGCUGACGGGUUAGUAACACGCGAAUAACCUCUCUAUAAUCUUGAGAUAACUACCUGAAACCGGACCUAUUACCCUAUAUUACUAUGAACCCCAUGGUUCCACAUUCAAACAUUGUCUUCCGGUCACUCAUGGAUGGAUCGGCCCUGCAUGAGCUAGUUGGUAAGGUAACGGCUUACCAAGGCAACGAUGCAUAGACGAACUGAUAGGGUGAUCGGCCACACUGGAACUGAGACACGGUCCAGCCUCCUACGGGAGGCAGCAGUAGGGAAUCUUCCGCGAUGGGCGAAAGCCUGACGGAGCAACGCCGCGUGAGUGAUGAAGGUCUUCGGAUCGUAAAACUCUGUUAUUAGGGAAGAACAUAUGUGUAAGAAAAAGUGCACAUCUUGACGGUACCUAAUCAGAAAGACACGGCUCACUACGUG